GAUCAUGGCUCAGGAUGAACGCUGGCGGCGUGCUUAACACAUGCAAGUCGAACGGAGUUUUAAGUGGAAGUUUCGGAUGGAAGUUUAAAAACUUAGUGGCGGACGGGUGAGUAACGCGUGGGUAACCUGCCUCAUACAGGGGGAUAACAGUUAGAAAUGACUGCUAAGACCGCAUAAUAUAGCGAAACCGCAUGAUUUUUGCUAUCAAAUAUUUAUAGGUAUGAGAUGGGCCCGCGUCUGAUUAGCUAGUUGGUGGGGUAAAAGCCUACCAAGGCGACGAUCAGUAGCCGGCUUGAGAGAGUGACCGGCCACAUUGGGACUGAGACACGGCCCAAACUCCUACGGGAGGCAGCAGUGGGGAAUAUUGGACAAUGGGGGAAACCCUGAUCCAGCGACGCCGCGUGAGUGAAGAAGUAAUUUCGGUAUGUAAAGCUCUAUCAGCAGGGAAGAACCGCCACGGUGCUAAUCAGCCGUGGUCUGACGGUACCUCCAAAGGAAGCACCGGCUAACUCCGUGCCAGCAGCCGC
rnacentral:rRNA from 1 species